rnacentral:rRNA from 1 species
GACGAACGCUGGCGGCGUGCUUAACACAUGCAAGUCGAACGGAAAGGCCCUGCUUUUGUGGGGUGCUCGAGUGGCGAACGGGUGAGUAACACGUGAGUAACCUGCCCUUGACUGUGGGAUAACUCCAGGAAACUGGGGCUAAUACCGGAUAGGAUCUCUUGCUGCAUGGUGGGGGUUGGAAAGUUUCGGUGGUUGGGGAUGGACUCGCGGCUUAUCCGCUUGGUGGUGAGGUAGUGGCUUACCAAGGGUUUGACGGGUAGCCGGCCUGAGCGGGUGACCGGCCACAUUGGGACUGAGAUACGGCCCAGACGCCAACGGGAGGCAGAAGUGGGGAAUAUUACACAAUGGGCGGAAGCCUGAUGCAGCAACGCCGCGUGCGGGAUGACGGCCUUCGGGUUGUAAACCGCUUUCGCCUGUGACGAAGCGUGAGUGACGGUAAUGGGUAAAGAAGCACCGGCUAACUACGUG